rnacentral:rRNA from 1 species
CAGCACUAAGUGGGUGGUAAACUCCAUCUAAAACUAAAUAUAACCAUGAGACCGAUAGCAAACAAGUACCGUGAGGGAAAGUUGAAAAGAACUCUGAAUAGAGAGUUAAAUAGUACGUGAAACUGCUUAGAGGUUAAGCCCGAUGAACCUGAAUAUCCGUUGUAGAAAAUUCAUCAUCAAUUUUGUAAUAUAAUUUUUUUAUAUUAUUUAAAAUGGUGUGCACUUUUUCUACUUAAGGACAUUGUAAUCUGUUAAUGUUUAAAUGCUUAUUAUAAGAACUGUUACAAUAGUUUUUACAUUAUUUAAUUUUUUAAUUAAAUAUGUUUAAAUGUAAUAGAUUCGAAUUAGCCAUUGACAGAUUUUUUACAUAUAUUACACUUAAAUCAUAAUGAUUUUAUAAUAAUAUAAUUAAUCAUUGAUUAUUAUAUUUAUUAUAUGUGUAUAUAUGAUUGACAAUGCGAAAGAUUCAGUAUACCUUCGGGACCC